rnacentral:rRNA from 1 species
UCCGUAGGCGGGCGUCUAAGUCAGUGGUGAAAUCUUACAGCUCAACUGUAAAAUUGCCAUUGAUACUGGAUGUCUUGAAUUAGUGUGAGGUGGUUAGAAUGUGUAGUGUAGCGGUGAAAUGCAUAGAUAUUACACAGAAUACCAAUUGCGAAGGCAGAUCACUAACACUAUAUUGACGCUGAGGGACGAAAGCGUGGGGAGCGAACAGGAUUAGAUACCCUGGUAGUCC